rnacentral:lncRNA from 1 species
UGUUGGAACAAUUGUGAUGAUGACGAAUUUCGUCCUUUAUUCGAGAACAAUUUAAUUGAUAUAUAAAUCUGUGAGUUUACUAUGUUCUUAACUUCGAUGAACCAAAGCAAGUUAUAAAUUGACCUGUAUUUAAAUCAAAUUGUUUCUUUUUUUUUUCUUCUUCUUCUUUUGGUAUACAAUAGUCUAUCGAAUUCGUUGAUUACAUACUGUUGGCAUACAUGGACUAGUCUAUUUACAAAACUUUUACCACAAUUUACACAAAAUGUAUGUUUCUUUCUUAUGUUCAAUGUAUACAUGUAUACAUAUUUUAAAUUGCGCUACUGACUAUAGUUCCGUAACUUUCUACCAGGCGUAUGUAUACACGAAUCGUCGACAAGUGCGCACAUUUUUUUAGAUCAAUAAUUCUGGUAUGUUCCAAUCUGUCCUAAACUAUUGACAACGAGUAUAUAUUACAUUUUCCCAAAUUAACCCUUGGAAAAAUAUGUAAAUAGAUUUGUAUUUCUUCAAUUAUUUUUUUUUUGUAUUAUUUUUUUUUUAUAAAUAAUAUUCUUUACAC